CUACGGGCGGCUCCAGUGAGGAAUAUUGCACAAUGGGGGGAACCCUGAUGCAGCAACGCCGCGUGGAGGAUGACGCAUUUCGGUGUGUAAACUCCUUUUAUAUGUCAAGAAAAUGACGGUAGCUCAUGAAUAAGCACCGGCUAACUCCGUGCCAGCAGCCGCGGUAAUACGGAGGGUGCAAGCGUUACUCGGAAUCACUGGGCGUAAAGGACGCGUAGGCGGGCUUGUAAGUCAGGUGUGAAAUCCUACAGCUUAACUGUAGAACUGCACUUGAAACUACGAGCCUAGAGUAUGGGAGGGGGAGAUGGAAUUAGUGGUGUAGGGGUAAAAUCCGUAGAUAUCACUAGGAAUACCGAAAGCGAAGGCGAUCUCCUGGAACAUUACUGACGCUAAGGCGUGAAAGCGUGGGGAGCAAACAGGAUUAGAUACCCUAGUAGUC
rnacentral:rRNA from 1 species